rnacentral:tRNA from 1 species
UCUCAGGUGGCUCAGUGGUAAAGAAUCCGCCUGCCAAGCAGAAGACCCGGGUUCAAUCUCUGGGUUGGGAA